AAAACCCAACCCUAGAUGUAUUAACAGAAAUGCAAAAAAUGGGUUAAAUUUGCGUCGGUAUUAACUUGAAGAAAAGUCGAUAGUCGGCAGAGAACCUUAAGCAUAAGCAGCGGCAGCAGCAGCAGGUCCAUAGAAGAAGCCAUGGGACUGAUAAACAAAGCUGGAGAUUUGACAUUUAAAGCUUUCACCUUGGGUUUAGGCGUCGCCACCAUUUAUCUCGGCGCUACCUUUUCCGUCAACGUUUACCGUGGUCUCGCAUGGCAUAACGCCCAAUCGAAAUCCGAGCAUGAUGGGACUCCUGAUCAGAAGUAGUACAUCAAUUAUAUUGUGACUUCUCCAGUCUUUACGGUUAAGUCAUCAAGCUUCCUUAACUUGAAGCAUCCCUCUUUGAUUCUACCAUUCUGUUCAUUUCAGAAAUGCCAAAUUUACGCUCAUAUGUCGUUUUAUUUUUUUAAGACUUGAUUUAGAUGGUUUAUCAUAUGGUUUUUGUUAUUUGACAUAUAGUUGUUUUGAACAUCACAAAUAUUAAAGCAGAUAAAGCUGUUACAAUAAUUUGAAUUUCUUAUCUGUCA